UAGUUUGUUUACUUAAUUAACAAAAGAUGCACUAAGUCAUUGUUUCUUACUUGGUUAUGUGGUUGGCCUGCAGAUAUUCAUUGGGUUGUGUCAGGAUAUACAAAAUUGGAGACCUUAAUCAUCUCAUCUCUCCAACCAUAACUGAUGCAGUUCUUGGAGACCUUAAUCAACUUGAACAUUGGCAGAGGAACAAGAGAACGCUGCAAGUAAGGCUUCAAGAAGUUCGUCACUUUCCUUCACCACUGAAAGUUGAUUGUUUUUACUCUUUUAAGCUAGCUCACUUCAAGAAAUUUGACUCUAUCUAUAUUAGUUUUAUUUUGUUUUUAGACUUAGGCAUCACUUACGAUAUUAGUAUAAGACUUGGUAUGAUAUUAUGUAAACUUGUAAACUAGUCUUUUAUUUGCUUAUGUUUUUGUACUCUAUAAUACUUUGUUAGGAUGGUUUUUAUUAGUGUUUUUGAAUGAUGGAUUAUUUGCAUUUGAA